CAACCUGAAUUGCCCAUCCUCACAGUGAGCAAAGCCCCCAAAUAGUGUCAAUCCCAGGGACCACCUGCAGAGACACUGGCUUCCAGCCAAUGGGUGACUGGUGGGUAGAGCCAGUCCCCAUCCAGUGGCAGUGGCUGCAAGCACAGAGUGGGAAGCAGAGCUGUGGGCCAAGCAGAACUCUCACUUGUGCCCUCUGGAGCCCCUCAGAUCCUCAGGCCAAGAGUGCUGUAUUCAAGGGUGGCUCACAAGUGAGCCAGAGACAAGCACAGCUGUGUGAAGACAAAGCUGAAUUGCUAAGUGCCUCGUUAAGUUGCUGAGGCUAGCAUUGAACUUGCGUUUCUCUUGCCUCAGCCUCCUGAGCCACAGGGAUUAGAGGUGUGUGCCACCGCACCCAGCUCAGAAGUCUCCAUUCUGUACAGACCCUGUGCAUCUCCUGCACUUGUCAUCCAACAUGAGCCAUGUGGUGAGUGGCUUUGCUGUGCCAUGUGCUACUGCCAUGAUGUACCACCACAGGCCCCCAAAAUUGGGUCCGCCAAUCAUGGACUGAAACCUGCAAAAUUGUGAGCCAAAAUAAACCUCCUUUCUUUUAA